rnacentral:lncRNA from 1 species
UUGGUUCUAUGAAUUGGCAUCAAUUUUGGUAAAACAUAGUGUUAUCAAAAGAUGUCAUGUUUGUAGUCUUGACAUGUGAUAUCAGCUUUCUACAGGUUAUUUGAUAUGGUUAUGCGGGAUUUAUUCAAGAUGUCAGACCCGAUGUUACGACAUGUGCAUACAGAUUAUAUCACACAUACAUAUAGACAAACAUCACAUAUAUACAAAUAUAUUCACAUAAAAAGUAGGCUAAACCCACUGGAGACUACUCCCCAGCAGAG